UUUAUCCACUUGUAGCUGCUAUGACACCUUGUACUUUGGAAGUAACUCAGGAGCUCAAAGCCUCCGAGAUGGCUACAAAACUGAUGGGUGACCAGAUGCAGUUAGAUGCCACUGCAGUUUUAGAUGCUGACUCUCCACUUUACAGUCUUAAUCUUAAAGCCAGGCCAAGACCUGUUCAUGCAGAUAGCACUGAGUCAGAUGCUGAGUUUUUUGAUCGCCGACAAACGUUUUCUGAUACAUCUGAGCCAGAGGACGGAUCAUCAGAAGUUUUAGAUGUUCCUCAAACAAUUUACCACGUUGAGGAACUUCCAUCUUUAUCAAGCAGCCCUGAAUAGCUGACAGGCAUCUCUAAACUUAGAGAGCACACACAGUUGAAAAAUGAUGAGCGGCCCUUAUCCUGGGCCAGUCAGGACUACACUGGCGAGGCUGGUGAGGAGAAGGGUUUAUCUUACGUUUAUACAGGUGAUCAUUCAUUUGCUGAAGAGCUACCUCCAAUAGAGGGGAGCACAAUGAUGACUGUCUAGGGAGGGAAAUAGCUGAAGAACUAGGUUUGCUGUCUGAUAGUUCAGAGGAGGAGGCGUUGACCACCAGGGUGGUGCGGUGCAGUUAUAAUUCAUGGUGACGAGAUGCCCGUAAUCCCUCCUCAGGCUGUGACAGAAGAGAAAUACAC